AAAUAGCUCGUAAGAUGCCUGAAAGAACUGAUAAUGAGAUAAAGAACUAUUGGAGAACUCAUCUGCGGAAGAAAACACAAAUUGAAGAACAAGGAUAUGCGACACGGAAAAGUGCAGGAAGGGUUCUAAUCCGUGUUGGGCAUUUCAGAUGCAAAAAGAGCUUGUUUAUUACCUUUAGUUGUCCAAGGUACAAUCAAAGGUAAGAAGUCAGGUAUCCAGCUGUACUCGAGAUCUUUCAAAGAAAGAGAUAGGGCCACUUCUUAAACUUUGCAACCAGGCACCAAAAGAUGUGCGAUGAAAUGCUGUGAAAUCAUCUAAGUCUCUGGGAGGGGUUCCAAGAAGUCACACAACAACAACUGAGAAUGUACUAUAAGAUUCUUGGAUUCGUCAAU